CAUAAUAAAUCCACGAGGCCAGCGAGUGCGAGACACCCAUCCUAAGAUUGCGGCGGCCGGGGGGCGCGGCGGGCCCGUGCACUCGGUAGCGGCUGCGAGGCGCGGCGUGCCCGUGGACACCGGAGCGGCGGCCCCGCACCGUGCACAAGAGCAUUGACUGAAGAGUUUACAAGGAGGUGGCGCGGUACCGGCGUGCAGCCCCUGCUCCGCUUCAAUCUAGGGUUUGGCGGAGGUGGCACUGCGAGCAAUCGAGGGAAAAAUGAGAGGGGGCCGACGCCUUCUUGCGUUUUUGCCACGGUGGGGAUUGCAGUAGCGACCAGGGUGGUGGCGACGACCAGGGCCCCUGCUCCUGGCUGCGCAACAGGAACAAGCGAUUGGCUGCCAAGGUGAUUCUCCGGGCGAAGAAGCCACCAAACCAUCCCUUUUCCUGGGUGCAGUUGUUGCUCAUCGCCAUAUACCUUCUGUAAUCCCAUCUUCUACAAUCUUCGCGCUUACGAUCACUGCCACCUCCUUUCUUAGCCAGCACGGAGGCAGCUGUGGUUGUCUGAUACGAGGCGAUGGCUGCUGCACCAAAUGCCUUCUCGGCUCAUUUGGAAAAAUGGAUCGUUCAGCAGACCAAGGAUUCCAUAUUUUUUGUGAAUAUCUCUCCUAAUUUGGACUUCAAGAGUAAACUGGAAGAUCUUAUGGAGAAAGCCAAAACUGUGCCAGUGGGGGAAAGAGCAGAGGCGCUGAAUCCGAAAGGCAAAUGUGCCACUGGGUCUGUUGUCGAAGUUAGAACAAGGGAGAUCAUUAUCUUAUCAAGUGCCCAUCUCAUGGAGCAUGUCUACACAGUUUCAAAACCUCUUUCUGUUCGUCUUGCCAAAACGUAUUUCCAUACAGAUGUCCUUUGUGACCACUAUGAGGUUAGUUUCAGUCGACCUGGGCAACAUACACAUACUAAAAGGAAGUAUGCCUCAGCUACAAUUAUUGGCAUAGAUUGUGAACAGGACUUGCUCCUCAUCUCCGUGCCACGAGUGAAUCUGAAGAACUUGGAUAGUGACUGCAGCGUCAGCCAUCCUCCUCUUACCUUCAGUUCAGUCCUUCCUGUGCAACUUGAUGAGUGUAUUAUGCUUUCGUGGCCUCCUUUGCAACACCGGACUGUGGUUAAAGGUAGUAUUUGUCACAUUUCAAGAGCACUCUAUGAUUUAGUGAAGAAGUUGGACAACCCUGUUGGGUAUGGGAUGAGGCUCCUGCAAGUAACAAUCGCGAGUGAAAACGGGAGCUCUGGAGCUCCACUGCUGGAUGGAAGAGGAAAGGUCAUUGGAAUCCUACAUGGAGGUUCGGGAGGCCCAUUCUCUUACUUUGUCAAGCUUCGUCACAUCAUACCGUUCCUGACAAAACAUGGCAUAGUUGCGCGUCAGGGUUAGUGAUCCAUCCAUGAUCAUUUCUGUGUAGAGGACUUGCCAGGUCCACUACUAUUGCUGUUUCUUGACAGCAAUGUUGGUUCAACUGCUUCCUUGGCAAGUACUAACACAAAUGGAGACCCUCCAGCAGUUCAUGAAGUUGGAGCCAAGUCAUCUAUCCGUUGGCAAACACUAUCCUAAGUUGCUAUCUGGUUUAAAUCCCAUGGUUCUCUUCACAACUAUUAAGCUUUAUCACAGCUGAGAAACUUUUGACGUAUACCUGCUGAAAACUACUCGUACAUGUUAGCAUACACUACCUGACGCUUCUGUCUGAUCUAAACCGAGCUCUGCCUCUGUUAAUAGUUGAGUUUAUGAUGAGUUACCGGGUC